UGGGGAAUAUUGGACAAUGGGGGCAACCCUGAUCCAGCAAUACCGCGUGAGUGAAGAAGGCCUUCGGGUUGUAAAGCUCUUUUACCGGGGAAGAUAAUGACGGUACCCGGGGAAUAAGCUCCGGCUAACUUCGUGCCAGCAGCCGCGGUAAUACGAAGGGAGCUAGCGUUGUUCGGAAUUACUGGGCGUAAAGGGCGCGUAGGCGGUUUUGUAAGUCAGAUGUGAAAGCCCCGGGCUUAACCUGGGAACUGCAUUUGAGACUGCAAGACUAGAGAUCGAGAGAGGAAAGUGGAAUUACGAGUGUAGAAGUGAAAUUCGUAGAUAUUCGUAGGAACACCCGUGACGAAGGCGACUUUCUGGCUCGACCCUGACGCUAAAGCGCGAAAGCGUGGGGAGCAAACA
rnacentral:rRNA from 1 species